rnacentral:misc_RNA from 1 species
GAAAUGCGAUAAGUAGUGUGAAUUGCAGAAUUCAGUGAAUCAUCGAAUCUUUGAACGCACAUUGCGCCCCUCGGUAUUCCGUGGGGCAUGCCUGUUCGAGCGUCAUCUACACCCUCAAGCUCUGCUUGGUGUUGGGCGUCUGUCCCGCCUUCGCGCAUGGACUCGCCCCAAAUGCAUUGGCAGCGGUCCUUGCCCCCUCCCGCGCAGCACAUUGCGCUUCUCGAGGCUGCGGCGGCCCGCGUCCAACAAGCUGAACUUAAGC